rnacentral:rRNA from 1 species
UACGGGGGGGAGCAAGCGUUGUUCGGAUUUACUGGGCGUAAAGGGCGCGUAGGCGGCGUAACAAGUCACUUGUGAAAUCUCCGGGCUUAACUCGGAGCGGUCAAGUGAUACUGUUGUGCUAGAGUGCGGAAGGGGCUACUGGAAUUCUCGGUGUAGCGGUGAAAUGCGCAGAUAUCAGGAAGAACACCGACGGCGAAGGCAGCUCGCUGGGACGGUACUGACGCUGAGGCGCGAAAGCGUGGGGAGCGAACAGG